UGUUGAAUUAGGAGGGGAUAACCUUACCCCAUUCACAAACCAGCAAAUAAAAUAGGGGAUAGAAUCCCUAAACCCUCCAUUCUCUUCUCCUUCGACUCCGGCGGGAUUGGCCACGGUGGCAGCGGCGGCAGCGGUGUUUUAUAUGGUUCGCGGCACGUGAUCGUCUCCUCUUUUCCUCACCUUGUUAUUUCGUUCAGGGUGAGAAGAUGAAGGAUGGGGUCGUCGGCUUCCUUCGCUGAGAACAGUUGAAAAGGUCGUGUCGUUCAGGGAGGUGGUUAUGAAGUCCCACGUUUGGGGACAUCUCGACCCGAGAGAGGUCAAGCCGUGACGGAUACGGUUUGGUGGUGGUAAGCUUUGUCGGCUUCCAUCCUCUUCCGAUUUCCCCAUACAGUGAUGGCAGAGGAAAGAGACACGGCGACGGUGAAGCUUCAAGGCCACCGUGUCUUCUUGAUAGUUUGCCACCGAGAGCGAGAUGACUCUGAAUCGUGAAGGCGGAGGAAGGCGACGGGAGAAGGCGUCCGAAGGAAUUCGACUUUCAGGUUCACUUCACCACAACCCUUCCAUCUUUUGGAGCUAACUCUUGCGGCUGCUUCCCCAACCAUUUUCUAAAGCUUCAUAGUGAACACAUUAAUAUGUAUAGGAUUAGGUUCACAGUAUAAACUGUUGAGGAAAUAUUUAUGGUACAAGCUGUGAACCCAAUCCCUUUUUUAUUGGGAUUUUUCUUAGAUUUUGAUUGAACGCUUCUUAUGUAAAUAUAUUGCUGUCAUAUGUAUUCCUGAAGUUGAGGGCACUUUGGUUAUAUUGUAAAAUCUGUUUUGUUACCCGUGUAAAAAGGACAUAGCUGCCUUGAGGUGAUUGAUUUUUUCUUUAGAAAUAGCAUGAAAAAUGAAUCAGGGCCAGGGUACUUUCAGCAGAUGAGGAGCAUUUGAGUCUUGUUUUUUCAUUCUUCAAAGCUAUUGUCAUAUCCUUGCUUAUUUCAAUUGUAUUUAGAGUAGGUCCUCUAGUAGAAUCCAUGGUCUUAACAAAGGGGAAGGACAGAACAAAGUUCAAACUCUCAUUCAUGUAGCUUGGUUCAUAAACAGUGUAACUCAGCAAUGUUAAUCACUGCAUUAUCAGUUAUUUAUGUAUAAUUAGCAACAUCUUAUU